UCUCCGUAGGUGAACCUGCGGAGGGAUCAUUACUGAGUGAGGGCUUCGGUCCGACCUCCAACCCUUUUGUGAACCUGGAAACCUGUUGCUUCGGGGGCGACCCUGCCGUUCGGCGCGGCGCCCCCGGGGUCAAUCAAACACUGCAUUCUCUGCGUCGGAGUAUUAGUAAAUCUAAUCAAAACUUUCAACAACGGAUCUCUUGGUUCUGGCAUCGAUGAAGAACGCAGC
rnacentral:misc_RNA from 1 species